AUUUUACCAUAAUAUAACAUUAUAUGUAUUGUUGACAAAGCAACACUAUCAACUGAACUUCGCUCAGAACCGUUUUUUCGUUAGCAAUGAUUAAUUAUUGGGUACAGGUUACAUUAAAUUCCAGUUUAUAACUUCCUAACUUCUACUUAAAACAGUGAAUGCAUGCGUCUUCAUUAUCUUAGGAUAUCAUUUUUUAGACUUAAUCUAGACUUAGUCAAUAUUUGAAAUGUGGAUAGACCACACAUUUGUGUGAACCAUCGGGCAGCCGCAUUCUCAGUCAAUAAAUAUUACUAGUAAAUUUCUAAGG